GUGGGAGGGGGCUUGCCCCCGAUGGCAGUGUGUCAGCCAACUAAUAGCCAACUGAAGCACCGCUAUCGGGGGCAAGCCCCCUCCCAC
rnacentral:misc_RNA from 1 species